AGCAAUUCUUGUGACUCAGCCUCCCAAGUAGCUGGAAUUACAGGCAUGCACCACCAUGCCCAGGGCAGAUAUGAGGCUCUCGAAUUGAACAGCUGCUGAAAGAUGAAUGAAUUUGGCAGGAAUGGAAAGAUCAAGCCAGCAGAUGCACACGAACAAGGUCACUGAAGCAGGAGCUGUCACCAGGUGCUAUCAGCCAGCACUCACCGGGACAUGAAGGAAUGCCUUUGCUUCUGUCUUCCUCAUGGUAUUUCCCUCCAGGGGCAGGCGCUCAAUCUUCCCGGUCUGGGCAAAAAGUAAAUGGGUCCCGGGGGGCAAGGGGAUCACGGCGGUAGGCACUGCGGGUCCUUGGUGAAUCGGGGGAGCCACUGUACUCAGGCCUGCAUGGCAGAGGGGAUCAGUGAGCGAGGCCCGUGUGCACCAGAAACCCACAAAUGCACACACACACCCCCACACAUACGCAAGCAUGCACACACAUACACACACCCACACAUCAGGUCACAUCACCUUCAUGGCACCACAAACUGCCACAGCCACACACUGCCCAUUUUAUAGCUAAAAGCACCAGAAGAAGCCCUCAGUC